UACGGGGGGAGCAAGCGUUGUUCGGAUUUACUGGGCGUAAAGGGCGCGUAGGCGGCGUGACAAGUCACUUGUGAAAUCUCCGGGCUUAACCCGGAGCGGCCAAGUGAUACUGUCGUGCUAGAGUGCGGAAGGGGCUACUGGAAUUCUCGGUGUAGCGGUGAAAUGCGUAGAUAUCGAGAGGAACACCUGCGGCGAAGGCGGGUAGCUGGGCCGACACUGACGCUGAGGCGCGAAAGCUAGGGGAGCAAACGGG
rnacentral:rRNA from 1 species